UGAUAGUGAUAAUUGUGGAUGUGUGCAAC
rnacentral:piRNA from 1 species